rnacentral:sRNA from 1 species
AUUUUUGUAUUUCUAAUAGAGACGGAGUUUCGCCAUGUUGGCCAGGCUGGUCUCAAACUCCUGACCUCAGGUGAUCCACCCACCUCAGCCUCCCAAAGUGCUGGCAUUACAGGCAUAAGCCACCACGCCUAGCCAACUGCUUCUCUUCUUAAAGGUGGAUUGACUAUAUACAUAGGGACUGCUUGCUUCCUGUUGCCCAGCCAGGUCAGCAAUCCUCUGCUCAUUGGCCAUGGGGCUCUGUCUACUCUGGGGUUGCUGCUGUUGGACUUGGCUGGGGCUGUCCAGAAAACCGAGGAUGCAGGACUGGAGCUGCUGGCAUGCCCCGUGCUUCGAUGUCUAAGCAACCUGCUAACUGAGGCAGCAGUGGAGACUGUGGGAGGGCAAAUGCAGCUCAGAGAUGAGCGUGUUGUGGCAGCCUUAUUUAUCCUUCUGCAGUUCUUUUUCC